GACGAACGCUGGCGGCGUGCCUAAUACAUGCAAGUAGAACGCUGAAGGAGGAGCUUGCUUCUCUGGAUGAGUUGCGAACGGGUGAGUAACGCGUAGGUAACCUGCCUGGUAGCGGGGGAUAACUAUUGGAAACGAUAGCUAAUACCGCAUAAGAGUAGAUGUCGCAUGACAUUUGCUUAAAAGGUGCAAUUGCAUCACUACCAGAUGGACCUGCGUUGUAUUAGCUAGUUGGUGAGGUAACGGCUCACCAAGGCAACGAUACAUAGCCGACCUGAGAGGGUGAUCGGCCCCACUGGGACUGAGACACGGCCCAGACUCCUCCGGGAGGCAGCAGUAGGGAAUCUUCGGCAAUGGACGGAAGUCUGACCGAGCAACGCCGCGGGGGUGAAGAAGGUUUUCGGACCGUAAAGCUCUGUUGUAAGGGAAGAACGAGUGUGAGAGUGAAAGUUCACACUGUGACGGUAUCUUACCAGAAAGGGACGGCUAACUACGUG
rnacentral:rRNA from 1 species